AACGAACGCUGGCGGCAGGCUUAACACAUGCAAGUCGAACGCCCCGCAAGGGGAGUGGCAGACGGGUGAGUAACGCGUGGGAAUCUACCCAGUUCUACGGGACAACUGAGGGAAACUUCAGCUAAUACCGUAUACGCCCUACGGGGGAAAGAUUUAUCGGAAUUGGAUGAGCCCGCGUUGGAUUAGCUAGUUGGUGGGGUAAUGGCCUACCAAGGCGACGAUCCAUAGCUGGUCUGAGAGGAUGAUCAGCCACACUGGGACUGAGACACGGCCCAGACUCCGACGGGAGGCAGCAGUGGGGAAUAUUGGACAAUGGGCGCAAGCCUGAUCCAGCCAUGCCGCGUGAGUGAUGAAGGCCUUAGGGUUGUAAAGCUCUUUCAGUGGGGACGAUAAUGACGGUACCGCAAGAAUAAGCCCCGGCUAACUUCGUGCCAGCCGCCGCGGUAACAC
rnacentral:rRNA from 1 species